rnacentral:sRNA from 1 species
UGUGAUUAGACGCCUCAGUAUCAAAUCACGUGCACUAUCUUCAAAGGCAACGCAACACGGCAUCGGCGAAACGUGCCGUGCGGCCUCGAAAUUCACACGCAAUCAAACACAACUACACAGCUCAAGAUCACGCAACGAAACGAGCGCGAUCUCACGAAUGAGAAGAACGAAACGAAGAAAGUAAAGAACGCGAUCUCAUCUAAUACGCGAUCUCAGCUAAUACGUUACAUAAUCGUAAUUGCGAUGAUUUUGAAUAUAUAGCGACGCGAGAAGAAAAUAUUACCCCGAGGAUAGGAUCUUCAGG